CAGCAGGACGGUGGUCAUGGAAGUCGAAAU
rnacentral:ncRNA from 2 species